GGAGGUAUCAGAAGUGCGAAUGCUGACAUAAGUAACGAUAAAGCGGGUGAAAAGCCCGCUCGCCGGAAGACCAAGGGUUCCUGUCCAACGUUAAUCGGGGCAGGGUGAGUCGACCCCUAAGGCGAGGCCGAAAGGCGUAGUCGAUGGGAAACGGGUUAAUAUUCCCGUACUUGGUGUUACUGCGAAGGGGGGACGGAGAAGGCUAUGUUGGCCGGGCGACGGUUGUCCCGGUUUAAGCGUGUAGGUGUGUGUUCCAGGUAAAUCCGGUUCACUUUAACACUGAGGCGUGACGACGAGGCACUACGGUGCUGAAGCAACAAAUGCCCUGCUUCCAGGAAAAGCCUCUAAGCAUCAGGUAACACGAAAUCGUACCCCAAACCGACACAGGUGGUCAGGUAGAGAAUACCAAGGCGCUUGAGAGAACUCGGGUGAAGGAACUAGGCAAAAUGGUGCCGUAACUUCGGGAGAAGGCACGCUGACACGUAGGUGAAGUGAUUUACUCAUGGAGCUGAAGUCAGUCGAAGAUACCAGCUGGCUGCAACUGUUUAUUAAAAACACAGCACUGUGCAAACACGAAAGUGGACGUAUACGGUGUGACGCCUGCCCGGUGCCGGAA
rnacentral:rRNA from 1 species